UACGAAGGGUGCAAACGUUGCUCGGAAUCAUUGGGCGUAAAGCGCACGUAGGCGGCCCCAAAAGUGGAUGUGAAAUCCCUCGGCUCAACCGAGGAACCGUGCCAAUCCAAAACUGUGGGGGCUUGAGUACUGAAGAGGAUCGCGGAAUUCCCGGUGUAGAGGUGAAAUUCGUAGAUAGUCGGGAAGGAACACCAGUGGCGAAGGGCGGCGAUCUGGGCAGAGACUGACGCUGAGGUGCGAAAGCGUGGGGAGCAAAGAGGG
rnacentral:rRNA from 1 species